rnacentral:rRNA from 1 species
GGAUGAACGCUAGCUACAGGCUUAACACAUGCAAGUCGAGGGGCAGCAUGGUCUUAGCUUGCUAAGGCCGAUGGCGACCGGCGCACGGGUGAGUAACACGUAUCCAACCUGCCGUCUACUCUUGGACAGCCUUCUGAAAGGAAGAUUAAUACAAGAUGGCAUCAUGAGUCCGCAUGUUCACAUGAUUAAAGGUAUUCCGGUAGACGAUGGGGAUGCGUUCCAUUAGAUAGUAGGCGGGGUAACGGCCCACCUAGUCUUCGAUGGAUAGGGGUUCUGAGAGGAAGGUCCCCCACAUUGGAACUGAGACACGGUCCAAACUCCUACGGGAGGCAGCAGUGAGGAAUAUUGGUCAAUGGGCGAGAGCCUGAACCAGCCAAGUAGCGUGAAGGAUGACUGCCCUAUGGGUUGUAAACUUCUUUUAUAAAGGAAUAAAGUCGGGUAUGGAUACCCGUUUGCAUGUACUUUAUGAAUAAGGAUCGGCUAACUCCGUGCCAGCAGCCGCGGUAAUACGGAGGAUCCGAGCGUUAUCCGGAUUUAUUGGGUUUAAAGGGAGCGUAGAUGGAUGUUUAAGUCAGUUGUGAAAGUUUGCGGCUCAACCGUAAAAUUGCAGUUGAUACUGGAUAUCUUGAGUGCAGUUGAGGCAGGCGGAAUUCGUGGUGUAGCGGUGAAAUGCUUAGAUAUCACGAAGAACUCCGAUUGCGAAGGCAGCCUGCUAAGCUGCAACUGACAUUGAGGCUCGAAAGUGUGGGUAUCAAACAGGAUUAGAUACCCUGGUAGUCCACACGGUAAACGAUGAAUACUCGCUGUUUGCGAUAUACUGCAAGCGGCCAAGCGAAAGCGUUAAGUAUUCCACCUGGGGAGUACGCCGGCAACGGUGAAACUCAAAGGAAUUGACGGGGGCCCGCACAAGCGGAGGAACAUGUGGUUUAAUUCGAUGAUACGCGAGGAACCUUACCCGGGCUUAAAUUGCAGAUGAAUUACGGUGAAAGCCGUAAGCCGCAAGGCAUCUGUGAAGGUGCUGCAUGGUUGUCGUCAGCUCGUGCCGUGAGGUGUCGGCUUAAGUGCCAUAACGAGCGCAACCCUUGUUGUCAGUUACUAACAGGUUCCGCUGAGGACUCUGACAAGACUGCCAUCGUAAGAUGUGAGGAAGGUGGGGAUGACGUCAAAUCAGCACGGCCCUUACGUCCGGGGCUACACACGUGUUACAAUGGGGGGUACAGAGGGCCGCUACCACGCGAGUGGAUGCCAAUCCCCAAAACCUCUCUCAGUUCGGACUGGAGUCUGCAACCCGACUCCACGAAGCUGGAUUCGCUAGUAAUCGCGCAUCAGCCACGGCGCGGUGAAUACGUUCCCGGGCCUUGUACACACCGCCCGUCAAGCCAUGGGAGCCGGGGGUACCUGAAGUGCGUAACCGCGAGGAGCGCCCUAGGGUAAAACUGG